rnacentral:lncRNA from 1 species
UGUAGGAGUAGUAGAUCACGUUAUUAAGGUUCAUUAAUCAGCAACGUACUACGUUAAUUGGACCACACAUACAGGUACUAGUACUAGUACAGCCCUGAACCACUAAACUAAACCGGCAUUGGUAGUUCAUCGACAUGAAUUAUCAGCAGUACUGUAUGCGGAAAAGUUGGCCAGGCUACAACUGCACGGGCCAAACUCUGCACGCAAACGCAACCGUGCCUGCACCUGAGGCUUAAUUGGCCGUUCUGAAACCAUGCACAUGCAUGCAGCUUUACAUUAACCUCCAUCUCACGUUUCCUCUCUGUUGCUCGGUUUUUCACUCACUCCAACCGGACUGGAGUCGUUUUGUACACUGGAGGAGUACGUUUUUUACGCUUUGUGGUUGCUCCGAG